rnacentral:misc_RNA from 1 species
GUAGGUGAACCUGCGGAAGGAUCAUUACCGAAGUACAGGCCCUCUCGUAGGGCUAAACUUCCACCCUUUGUUUACCAUUCCAUGUUGCUUUGGCGAGACGUCUUCGGACCACCGGCUCUCGAGCUGGUGCGCGCUCGCCAGAGAAAAAUCAAACCCAAACCAUUUUUAGUGUCGUCUGAGAAAUAAGUUUAAUUAUUAAAACUUUCAACAACGGAUCUCUUGGCUCUGGCAUCGAUGAAGAACGCAGCAU